GUCAACCGUGAGGCCUCUUCAGGGUCUGGCCAACAAUGGCAGUAACAGGUGUAAGUGAUUAGUGCAAACUCCAUUUUUUUUUAGUUGGAAGAGCAUUAAUCUGCCUGAUCUACAGUCAUCUCUCGUUUUCUCGGACUGCUAAACCUAACGAGGAUAAUACCCCAAGCUGGCUGAUGGCAUUUUAGCAUGAGGAAUUCGUACAACUUCGUCUCAAUAUUUCACAACCCAUCUCACCUGUGAGAAGGAAACCAGCGAUGCAGAGACCAGAACCGUUAUGUUUACGAGUUCUGCGCAGAAUUCGGCAGAGCUUGUUUAUAGCGGCCAAAGGGUUCGAAAUCAUCAGCUUCACGUGAACGAAGGCUGCCUGUCCUUGCAUCGUGCGAGGCGCUGGCUGGAAGAAGACUUAAUGAACGAGGCUCCCGAAGUGGAAAUUUAAUGGCCGUGUGUCCGAAGCUCGAGCCAAAGGUUUAUGGUGAUAAUCUCGUCCCAGAUGCUCCAGUCAUCUUCUCCGUCGUGACACGGAAUGAGGGAGAGGGGACUCCG